rnacentral:tRNA from 1 species
GGGGCGUGGCUCAGUGGUAGAGAGCUUACCUAGAAUGCACAAGGUCCUAGGUUCAAUCUCUAGUGCUCCA